rnacentral:rRNA from 6 species
CUGGAGGUAUCAGAAGUGCGAAUGCUGACAUAAGUAACGAUAAAGCGGGUGAAAAGCCCGCUCGCCGGAAGACCAAGGGUUCCUGUCCAACGUUAAUCGGGGCAGGGUGAGUCGACCCCUAAGGCGAGGCCGAAAGGCGUAGUCGAUGGGAAACGGGUUAAUAUUCCCGUACUUGGUGUUACUGCGAAGGGGGGACGGAGAAGGCUAUGUUGGCCGGGCGACGGUUGUCCCGGUUUAAGCGUGUAGGUGUGUGUUCCAGGUAAAUCCGGUUCACUUUAACACUGAGGCGUGAUGACGAGGCACUACGGUGCUGAAGCAACAAAUGCCCUGCUUCCAGGAAAAGCCUCUAAGCAUCAGGUAACAUCAAAUCGUACCCCAAACCGACACAGGUGGUCAGGUAGAGAAUACCAAGGCGCUUGAGAGAACUCGGGUGAAGGAACUAGGCAAAAUGGUGCCGUAACUUCGGGAGAAGGCACGCUGACACGUAGGUGAAGUGAUUUACUCAUGGAGCUGAAGUCAGUCGAAGAUACCAGCUGGCUGCAACUGUUUAUUAAAAACACAGCACUGUGCAAACACGAAAGUGGACGUAUACGGUGUGACGCCUGCCCGGUGCCGGAAGGUUAAUUGAUGGGGUCAGCGCAAGCGAAGCUCCUGAUCGAAGCCCCGGUAAACGGCGGCCGUAACUAUAACGGUCCUAAGGUAGCGAAAUUCCUUGUCGGGUAAGUUCCGACCUGCACGAAUGGCGUAAUGAUGGCCAGGCUGUCUCCACCCGAGACUCAGUGAAAUUGAACUCGCUGUGAAGAUGCAGUGUACCCGCGGCAAGACGGAAAGACCCCGUGAACCUUUACUAUAGCUUGACACUGAACAUUGAGCCUUGAUGUGUAGGAUAGGUGGGAGGCUUUGAAGUGUGGACGCCAGUCUGCAUGGAGCCGACCUUGAAAUACCACCCUUUAAUGUUUGAUGUUCUAACGUGGACCCGUGAUCCGGGUUGCGGACAGUGUCUGGUGGGUAGUUUGACUGGGGCGGUCUCCUCCUAAAGAGUAACGGAGGAGCACGAAGGUUGGCUAAUCCUGGUCGGACAUCAGGAGGUUAGUGCAAUGGCAUAAGCCAGCUUGACUGCGAGCGUGACGGCGCGAGCAGGUGCGAAAGCAGGUCAUAGUGAUCCGGUGGUUCUGAAUGGAAGGGCCAUCGCUCAACGGAUAAAAGGUACUCCGGGGAUAACAGGCUGAUACCGCCCAAGAGUUCAUAUCGACGGCGGUGUUUGGCACCUCGAUGUCGGCUCAUCACAUCCUGGGGCUGAAGUAGGUCCCAAGGGUAUGGCUGUUCGCCAUUUAAAGUGGUACGCGAGCUGGGUUUAGAACGUCGUGAGACAGUUCGGUCCCUAUCUGCCGUGGGCGCUGGAGAACUGAGGGGGGCUGCUCCUAGUACGAGAGGACCGGAGUGGACGCAUCACUGGUGUUCGGGUUGUCAUGCCAAUGGCACUGCCCGGUAGCUAAAUGCGGAAGAGAUAAGUGCUGAAAGCAUCUAAGCACGAAACUUGCCCCGA